GACGAACGCUGGCGGCGUGCUUAACACAUGCAAGUCGAACGGAAAGGCCCUGCUUGCAGGGUACUCGAGUGGCCAACGGGCGAGUAACACGUGGGUGCUCCGCCCUCUACUUUUUGGUAAGCCUGGGAGACUGGGUCUAAUACCUGAUAGCAGCCACUUUUAGCGUGUUGGUUGGAAAGUUUUUUCGGUGUAGGAUGAGCUGGCGGGCUAUCGGCUUGUUGGUGGGAUGAUGGCCUACCAACGCGCCGACGGGUAGCCGGCCAGAGGGAGUGGACGGCGACCUAGGGACUGAGAUACGGCACAAAUGCCUACUGUUGGAAGCAGUGGGGAAGCUUGCACCAGCGACGCCGGGCUGAUGCAGAGAGGCCGCGUGGGGGAUAGCGGCCUUCGGGUUGAAAAAUCGUUUCGCUAGGGACGAAGCUUUUUGUGACGGUACCUAAAGAAGAAGCACCGGCUAACUACGUG
rnacentral:rRNA from 1 species